AUUCUCAAUAUUUCCCUACUCUUUUACUAAAAUACAAAAAUCCCUUAUUUUCCCCCAUUUCAACUUAACCGGAUACUUUAUUAGUUUAAGUAUCCGCCCAUUAUUAAUUAAAGUAUCCGCGCUGCUAUAUUAUGCAUCCGCCCGUUAAUUUAAGUAUCCGUGCUGCUAACAACUUAAUAAUUUAAGUAUCCGCCCGUUAUUAAUUAAAGUAUCCGCGCUGCUAUAUUAAGUAUCCAC
rnacentral:lncRNA from 1 species